GCCUGAGUGGAUCAGUUGGUUGAGUGUCUGACUUUGGCUCAGGUUAUGGUUUCAUGGUUCAUGAGUUCGAGCCCCAUGUCAGGCU
rnacentral:tRNA from 1 species